ACUAGAACUUUUGACAGGCAAGAAAGUUAUAUUCAAUGAUGAAGACAGUGGAGAUGCAAUAACAAGUAUAGUGGAUUUUACAGUACCUAAAAUAUUGGCCAAUGAAUUGCUCAAGGUUUUGGACGAAAGGAUUGCUCCACCAGAACUUCUUAAGGAAGCCGAGGCAUUGGAGCUAGUGGCGUAUACUGCACUUCAUUGUGUAAA
rnacentral:misc_RNA from 1 species